UAGAUCUGCAUCUAAUGCAGUUUAUCACCUCAUCAAAUUCCAAAAGACGGGAACAAGUGUGCAGCAGCAUCUUGACAACAUCCCUCAAAGCAGUCAGCCCUACCUCCUUGCUCACGGACCCACAAAAAGCAGCAUUCACUCUUUCUUCAUUGCCAUCGACAAGCAUGCGCUUCCAUGCCAAGCCACCAGCUCGGUUGGAGCCCUGGAUGAGCUCUUCAAGGCCCACUAUGUGUUUGGUACAUCUUACAGUCCUGCCUUGAACAACUUUUUCACUUUUCUGCAAACUUCCAUUUACAACAUUGACGUGGGGAAAACUAAGGAAACGCCAAGAAUUGCAGAGUUGCGAGCGAGAAUGGUGCGUUAGGCACUCUUGAAAUUAAACAAUGAGAUGCUUUCUUUGCAUCAAUGUCUUUUGUGAAGCAAACAAUCUAGUAAAGCACCUCAAAGUGAUACAUGGACUCUGUACGGGAAGGACUCUUUAUCUUCAAUGUGGCCAAGUGGGAUGCUCACGUUUUUUCAAUAGUUUUUCUGGUCUUAGGAAGCAUCUGAAUAAGUGUCAUGUGAAUAGUGCAUGUGAUGUUAUUGUUACAAAUGUCAUGUGGAAAGAAUGACACCACUAUGUAUGUUGUCCCAUAUUGUUAUCUCUGAGGAGUUAUCAGGAAAUAAAUGGUGCUACAGUA